AAUGCAAUUAUUUUAAAGAGAGGUGAUUCUUUUCUUUAAUCACUGUAUGUGUAUAUAUGUGUAUAAAUAUGAUUUAUUUCUUUAGUUUUUUUUUUUUUUAUCCUCGUAUGCUUGACUUUAUCCCUAAAGGUAUACAAAACAUGUAGUCUCCCAUUUGCUUUAAGCAUCAUUGUCCCUCACUGCUCUUGAUUACUCGCCUAACAUUUGAUUCAUUUUACAUCAUUAUACUAUUAUUAUUAUUUAAUCCUGAUACUUUAUUUUGACGUUUUAAUCAGAACCAUUGAUUUGAAUAAUUAAAAGGCCACUUUGCCAUUAAAUAUUGACAAGAAUGUGGUCACCAUUUUCUAUAUAUUGUAGGGUUUAGUUGUUUCCAACCCUUCAUCUAUCUGUCUCAUCCUCAUCAUCCUCCUCAUAACAAUCAUCAGUAGUGUGUGUUUAUGACUGGGCUGGUUGCUGUGUUCGCUUGUCUGUAAAAUUAUGAAUGGGCUUUGGGGUGUGUGUGUGUGUGUGUGUGUGUGUGUGUGAGAGAGAGAGAGAGAGAGAGAGAGAGAGAAAGGGAGGGAUGGAAAGACCUUAUUCUGCACCGUGAAACGAGUAGGAUUCAGUCACUGGCUGCUCACCUUCACAGACAGACAAGGAGAAGGCUGCUUGGGUAGAUUGUGUUUGAGGAGACACUCAGUCUGAGCUCACGGCUAAAUCAUGGAUCAGAAGCCCACUUCACCCCAGAGACAUGCGGUGAAAAGCAGGUCAAAGUCUACAGAGGAAGUCCAGCAAGCUAAAAAGGCCUUCCACAUACCCCAGAAAUCACUGCCUGGAGGGUCAGAGCUGGAAAAGGUGAAGGAAGGACCAGAAGAAAAUGUGACUCCAGCAUCAUCCACAGAAGAGCUGAAGUGAUGCAGCCAUUCAUCUGUGUUUAUCUCACACACAAACACACACAUAAAGAUAAAUGCUUGUUUUUAUAUAUAAACAAGGUUUGAUUUAAAGUAUUAGCUCUUUCUUUUGUAAGGUGAUUUUCAGUACAGCUCAACACACGCAGAAACACGAAACACGUCGACCUGAAGCAUGUUAAGUCUGUCUGCGCUGCAUCUCUGUACACUGACAUGCUGUUUAUAUAAACUCAGUGCUUUCACUAUGAACAUCAGGGCAUGUGUGCUUUCACAUUUAAAGAAGCUCAAGCGAAAUUAGAUCAGUGGUUUGAUUAAAAUUGGAACUUUGUGGCUUUUUAGUCUAUAGCUUUGAGCUCGUCCAUAGAUAGAGUGAAAAUGCUAAUUACUUUUUUUGUGUGUGUGAAUAGUAUCUUUCUUUUAUUACCCAAUCAUAAUUUCUGCACAACCAGCAGAUGGUGUCAAUGUGUAAAUUUUGGCUGUCAUAUUAAUAGUUUUGAUGUUUGACAUUAUAAAUCUACAGAUACCCUAAGGGACUUGUUGAUGGAAAAAAUCUGAGAUGAAAGAAUUACAUUGCUUUUGUACUGAAUGCGUUUGCAUAUUGCAUUACAAAAGUGACAGAAAGCAAAGUUAGCAAGCGAACAUAAUCACGAUUUGCAAUUUUUUCCCUCACAUAUCAAAAUGAGUAAAUGCUUUUUUCUAUUUGAUAAAAACACUUACUGCGGGCUUGUUUCUACAAUGGGAUGUUUGUAGUACACUCCAGCUCUCAUGUUUUUGGGCCCAUGUGAGUCAAAUAGUGUUAAAUACUCAUCCGGCGACAUAUUUAUUGGCAUCAGCUGAAUCACAGAGCUGACAUACUGUAUGAGUCAGCUUAAGAUGUUGUGUAAGUGUUUAUAGUACAGUUUAAACCAUUUGUGCUAAUAAACUUUUGACCACUCAUCAUGCUAAAGUUCAGUGACUGAGUGAAUUUCAGAAACAGGAGUCACUCUCACAGCUGUAAACAAGAUACAUGAAGACUGUGCAGUCUGUUUAGUGCAAGCAAUUUGAGAGCAAAGUAAAAUUAAACUACCAUCAACAAAUGAUAAGAUGCGUUUUCUGAUAUUUACUUCCCUCUUAGGUCAUCUAGGAUGUAGAUGAGUUUGUUUCUUAAAGGGGGGGUGAAAUGCUAUUUCAUGCAUACUGAGUUUUUUACACUGUUAAAGAGUUGGAUUCCCAUGCUAAACAUGGACAAAGUUUCAAAAACUAAGUUGUACGUUUGAAGCAGUAUUUUUGUUCCAGAAAUACUCCUUCCGGUUUGUCACAAGUUUCGGAAAGUUUUUUUCGAGUAUGGCUCUGUGUGACGUUAGAUGGAGCGGAAUUUCCUUAUAUGGGUCCUGAGGGCACUUCUGCCGGAAGAGCGUGCGCUCCCGUAGAGCAGAGCACUGACUGAGAGCACAACAGACUUCACUGAUCAGAGCGAGAGAGUCGCGAAAUGUCACAAAAGAAGUGUGUUUUUGGUUGCGAGGGCAAGACAAC
ensembl:lncRNA